rnacentral:misc_RNA from 1 species
CUGAUUCACAUAUAAUUUCUUUUUUUUUUUUUCUUUAAUAUCAGAAACGAAAAUCUUUUUCUCAUACACAGCAUCGUACUGUGUCAGAAGGUGUCCUAAGAUUUCCUGAUUUCAUCAUCUUGACAACGUGACAUGUAAAAGAUUAUUCUUUUUUUUUUUUUUUUUUGAGAAAAGAAAAAGAGAAAUUAUAUGUGAAUCAGAAAGAACGCAGCAAGGAGAUGUUUUGAUCAUUUGAAAUUGAUCAUCACCCAGCAUUCUUAUCAUCAUCUUCAGCUUAUAAGAUCGAUUAAAAGCUCCAAGUUCAGAGAAAGAUACAGACAGAGUAUUCGUCCAACGAUUUGACAAGAAAAGCUCCCAUAGAAACUCU